UACGUAGGGGGCAAGCGUUGUCCGGAAUCAUUGGGCGUAAAGAGCGUGUAGGCGGCCCGAUAAGUCCGCCGUGAAAGUCCAGGGCUCAACCCUGGAAUGCCGGUGGAAACUGUCGGGCUGGAGUCCGGAAGAGGCGAGUGGAAUUCCUGGUGUAGCGGUGAAAUGCUCAGAUAUCAGGAGGAACACCAAUGGCGAAGGCAGCUCGCUGGGACGGUACUGACGCUGAGACGCGAAAGCGUGGGGAGCAAACAGG
rnacentral:rRNA from 1 species